CUAACUUAUACUGUUUAUUAUACCGCUAUUCGCAGCAAUAUCUUUCUCUGCUCCGAUGGCAACGCUGCCUCGUUCAAAAAUCAUAACACCGCCGCGGCCGCCACGUUUACCAGCCGGAGCCUCAAAUCAUGUCCCUUUGUGGUGAUAAAGAGGACACAGCCUGGUGUGAAGCUACAUUUAUUACGGAAGGAUGCCAGCCGGGAUCCGAACACGUCCGAUAUCAUCCAAGAGAAUGUGGCAGCUGAAGGGGGAGAGGCCAAGAAAGAGGCCAAGGGUGAAGACAUUUAGCCACCCCCCUGAAAUACAUGGCAUCAUUCAACCCUCUUGGUGAGCUGCAGGAAUGUGCUUCCCAUUGCAGUGCACCAGCUCCAUGUACUGAUUUUGGUGUGAACUUGAUGGGGUUGGUGGAAACUCGACUCGGCCAUCAAGCUCACCACAAUAUAACAUGAAAAGUGAAAAUUGCUGCACACAACAGUCUGUCGUCUGCACCGGGAGGCAAGGCAGCUCAAAGCCCAGGCUGUUACAACUCCUGGGCAGUUUUUGCCCAGAGCCAGCAAUUUUUUAGAUCCAAUAGGGAUGGAUUUUUUCUGAGGUCAGGUUCAACAUGCUGCAAGAUGCCAAGAUCUAAGCCUAGUAGGAGAUAUGGGUUACAAGAGAGGAGGUUUGCUCUGGCCUUAUACUAUCAAAGUCCAAAUGCUAAUAGAUUUCUGAGCACAGUAUUUCACUUGUCUUCAGUUUCAACACUUCAAUCAUGACUCAGGGGUAUUUCAGUACAUGUUGGCUGGAGCAAACAGACUCUGACAGCCCUGCAGCAAAGAGCACAGGCUUUGUCAAAAGAAGAGAAACUUCAUGGGAUUUGCCAUUAUUUAGUAUUACUCUUGUUACGCCAAGAAUUUUUUUCCAUAUACUUUGCCAAAUAUUGCAAGUCAUGCACCAUUGUUUGGCUUGCUUGUUAUAAAUCAGAUCUUGUUCAAUUAACAAGCUUUGGGUGUCUGCCACUUUCCAGUUGUAAUGCAAGGAAUCAUUUAUCUUCCCUGCUAGAUAUCACACGUAAUGCACCAUUGUUGGUUUUGCCUGUUAUAAAUCAGAUCUUGUUCAGUUAAAAAGCUUUAGGUGUCUGCCACUUUCCAAUUGUAAUACAAGGAAUCCCCUGCCAGAUAUCGCAUGUAAUGCACCAUUGUUGGUUUUGCCUAUGAUAAAUCAGAUCUUGUUCAGCUCACAAGCUUUGAAUAUCUGCCAUUGUUUAUUUCAGGUGUAAUGCUUGGAAGCAUUUGUUCUCUUCCCUACCCAACAGUAUGCAAUGCUUUAUUGUGGAUUUUGCCUGUUAUGUUUAAUCUUGUUCAGGUAACAAGCUUUUGGUGUCUGCCUUACUUAAUAUGUCCUGCAGUGACACUUGGCUUGGUUUCAUAAUGUGAAAUACAGCAUGUAAUUUCAUCACACUAAGUGUCUAUCAUCACGUGUCUGGCAUCAUUAAUGUGGCUUCCAGGAGUAAUCUUGUUUGUAUUACAGCAUGCAAUGUUUUUUCUGCUUUAUAUGAUAUACAUAAUCACAUAGGUAUGAUUUACAAAAUGUAAUGGCAGUUGAUAUUCUUGACUAAUGCCUCAUAAACCUUGUGAAAAAUAAUGCUUUUUUGAAUGGGGGGGACAGAGUGGUUUGUUUGGUUGGCCAGUUCAAGGAGUUUCAUAUCAAAUGAUUUUAUUACAUCCAACUUUAAUGUGUGCAAAAAACAUAUAUUU